rnacentral:rRNA from 1 species
UUUAACCUCGAAUCAGGUAGGGAUACCCCCUGAACUUAAGC